rnacentral:ncRNA from 1 species
GACCAGGGGGCCGGGCUGCUCUGAUUGCUACAGGAUCGGAGGGGCCUAGGGGUACAGGGAGUACCUCCUUCAUGGGCCGGGUCAGG